rnacentral:rRNA from 1 species
GGCGACGGGGGGGGAAGGAAGGGCACACUCUACUCCACCUGGUCGGGUGGUGAGGCAGAACGGAUACUGGUGCAAGGGGGUAUAUGUGGGCGAACGCGGGUGAGUAACACGUGGGCAAUCUGCCCUGCACUCUGGGACAAGCCCUGGAAACGGGGUCUAAUACCGGAUACUGACCUGCCAAGGCAUCUUGGCGGGUCGAAAGCUCCGGCGGUGCAGGAUGAGCCCGCGGCCUAUCAGCUUGUUGGUGAGGUAAUGGCUCACCAAGGCGACGACGGGUAGCCGGCCUGAGAGGGCGACCGGCCACACUGGGACUGAGACACGGCCCAGACUCCUACGGGAGGCAGCAGUGGGGAAUAUUGCACAAUGGGCGAAAGCCUGAUGCAGCGACGCCGCGUGAGGGAUGACGGCCUUCGGGUUGUAAACCUCUUUCAGCAGGGAAGAAGCGAAAGUGACGGUACCUGCAGAAGAAGGCGCCGGCUAACUACGUGCCAGCAGCCGCGGGUAAUACGUAGGGCGCAAGCGUUGUCCGGAAUUAUUGGGCGUAAAGAGCUCGUAGGCGGCUUGUCGCGUCGGUUGUGAAAGCCCGGGGCUUAACCCCGGGUCUGCAGUCGAUACGGGCAGGCUAGAGUUCGGUAGGGGAGAUCGGAAUUCCUGGUGUAGCGGUGAAAUGCGCAGAUAUCAGGAGGAACACCGGUGGCGAAGGCGGAUCUCUGGGCCGAUACUGACGCUGAGGAGCGAAAGCGUGGGGAGCGAACAGGAUUAGAUACCCUGGUAGUCCACGCCGUAAACGGUGGGGCACUAGGUGUGGGCAACAUUCCACGUUGUCCGUGCCGCAGCUAACGCAUUAAAGUGCCCCGGCCUGGGGAGUACGGCCGCAAGGCUAAAACUCAAAGGAAUUGACGGGGGCCCGCCACAAGCGGCGAAGCAUGUGGCUUAAUUCGACGCAACGCGAAGAACCUUACCAAGGCUUGACAUACACCGGAAAGCAUCAGAGAUGGUGCCCCCCUUGUGGUCGGUGUACAGGUGGUGCAUGGCUGUCGUCAGCUCGUGUCGUGAGAUGUUGGGUUAAGUCCCGCAACGAGCGCAACCCUUGUCCCGUGUUGCCAGCAACUCUUCGGAGGUUGGGGACUCACGGGAGACCGCCGGGGUCAACUCGGAGGAAGGUGGGGACGACGUCAAGUCAUCAUGCCCCUUAUGUCUUGGGCUGCACACGUGCUACAAUGGCCGGUACAAUGAGCUGCGAUACCGCAAGGUGGAGCGCAAUCUCAAAAAGCCGGUCUCAGUUCCGAUUGGGGUCUGCAACCCGACCCCACGAAGUCGGAGUCAGCUAGUAAUCCCAGAACAGCAUGCUGCCGAGGACCCUGCCG